AUUGAACGCUGGCGGCAUGCUUUACACAUGCAAGUCGAACGGUAACGCGGGGGGUAACGUCCUGGCGACGAGUGGCGAACGGGUAGAGUAAUACAUCGGAACAUGUCCUGGAGUGGGGGAGUANCUCGGCGAAAGACCGGAUUAAUACCGCAUACGCUCUGAGGAGGAAAGCGGGGACCGUGGAGACGGGCCUCGCGCUGCGGGAGUGCCGAUGUCGGAUUAGCUAGUUGGUGAGGAAAGGCUCACCAAGGCGACGAUCCGUAGCUGGUCUGAGAGGAUGAUCAGCCACACUGGGACUGAGACACGGCCCAGACUCCUACGGGGAGGCAGCAGUGGGGAAUUUUGACAAUGGGGGCAACCCUGAUCCAGCCAUGCCGCGUGAGUGAAGAAGGCC
rnacentral:rRNA from 1 species